AGGAUAAGCUCAUGUUAAUUAAAAUAUAUUAGAUAAAUACAUUAACAAGUUAUAAUAUAUAAAAAAGUUUAUUAAUUAUAAAAUUAAUAUCUGUAUAGGCACCUAAGACUAAGCUAAUUUUUCAUGUAGAUCUUUCAAAUAGUUUUAGUAUUUUGUCUCAUAAAUAUUUUUAAUUUAUAUAAUUUUAAAAAUUUAAUCAAACUAAAAAAAUAUUUGUUACGUACCAUCUACGAGAAACUUGUUAAUUUUGACAUAUAUACAAACUGAAUUCAUGUGAUGUACACAUAAUUUUACGACCAAAAUUGACAUUCCUCUAUUUUAAUUCCUCUGUUAUACAUUUUCUAUGGUUAGAAUAGUACACAUAAGACUUUUCUUGAGAGCGAUUUAUAUGUCUAUCUUUUUAUAUUGUAUAUAUAAAUCCUACUUUCCGUUCACCCUCAUGUUUAUAACACAAGCUUUUGUAUACUUUCUUUUCCUUUCAAGAUGGCUUACUUGAAGGUUGUCAUAAACAUAUUCGUUUUGCUAUUCGUGCUUCUCUUAUCAAUGAUUCUGGCAACAGCAAGGGUGCCCCUUUGGAUAUCCGAACCUCAUCACAAAGCACAUGGACGCCUCCUUGCUAUGGAUGAUCCACGUGACCACCAUUAUAAAUUUACACCAUAAUCACCGAGGAGUGAAGACCCAAUAUGCUGCCAAAGGCAAGUUGAAUACCAAAAAAUAAUCAAAUCAGACAGCACUGGGUUUCAAGGACAAAACUUGCUGUGGAGAAGAAGAUAUAUUUGCAAACAUACUACUAAUAAAUUAUAGUAUUAAAUUGUUUUGGAAUUACGAUUUCUUGUGAAUGUCAAUAAUUAGGUUAAUAAAUUGAGUGCAUUGUGUUAAUUUCUUCUUUUUUUUAACACCAAUAAAAUCAGAUUCUUUCCAUU